rnacentral:lncRNA from 1 species
UGCAAGAUGUGGGGAAAAAGCAAAUUCACGGAGUCCUCUCUGCAAAGGCUGCAGGGCUGGUGCCUCCGACAGGGCAGAUGGAUGACCCACAAUUACCCGCCCAGAUCCCCCAGCCUCACCCCACUCCCUCCCGCCUGGUCUCCAAGCAAUUUCAGACUCUUUGUACAUCCAGAGCAGAGAUUGUGUACGAUUUCUCUCGCCAGCAGAAGCGGCUUUCAGGGGUUGCUAAACUGCAGGAUGGGCCCCUGGACUAUUGGGGCCAUCCCUCCCCUCCUUGUGGGGGGCCAUCCCUCUCCUCCUUGUGGGGGGCCAUCCCUCUCCUCCUUGUGGGGGGCCUUCUGAGAAUGAAGUCACAUAGAGGCCAGAAGAGCCCAGAGAUGGAGAGAAACCAAGCACCCAUGACGCUGUUGGAAUCCCUGGAACCACCCAGGCCCGGUCCGGCAGCACCAUCUCUGGACUUUAAAGUGAUGUCAGACAAUUCUCUUUCAGCUCAUGCCAAUUUUAAUUGGGUUUCUGUCACUUGAGACCAAAGAUUCCUGACUGAUUCAGAGGAUUUCGUUAGGAGAGAUAGAGCUUGAGCUUCCAAGAAGGAUAUGAAUCGAUGAUUAGGGAGAGACAAGAGUGUAUAUU